GGCGACGUGCGACGUGAGGUCGUCGACGAGCGGCGCUGCGUCUCCAGUAUCCCUGUCGGGGCUGCUAGUUGUGCGGCGCUGCCCAGCUAUCGUUUUCUUCUCAGCUUCUAAAAGCCCGAUUGAAUCUUGUCCGUUUGCCGGGAGCCGGACGGAUUUGGAGGAAACUGAGCCGCGGGUGAUGGCGCUGUCCCCUCUCGGGACCCUCUCGUGACGUCUCCGCGCGGGGCGAUGUGGGCUCGUGCAGGGCCGGGCUGGUGGCCCGGACGGACGCUAGCGGCGUGGGCCAGCCGGUCGGCGGGUCUUGGGCCGCCCGGGGCUCUCCCCGCGUCUGCCCUGGGCCCUGCCGCCGAGCCCAGGGCUCCGGACAGGCCCUUCAGCUCUGCGGACCGCCAGGAAAAAAUUGAUAUGUCUAGAUUCCCUGUUGAAAACACUAGAAAUUUCAGUAUCAUUGCACAUGUGGAUCAUGGCAAAAGUACUUUAGCUGACAGGUUCCUGGAACUAACAGGGGCAAUUGAUAAAACAAAAAAUAAUAAACAAGUUCUUGAUAAAUUGCAAGUGGAACGAGAAAGAGGAAUCACUGUUAAAGCACAGACAGCAUCUCUCUUCUAUAAUUGUGAAGGAAAGCAAUACCUUUUAAAUCUCAUCGAUACACCGGGCCAUGUUGAUUUUAGUUAUGAAGUAUCCAGGUCACUCUCUGCUUGCCAGGGUGUUUUACUUGUGGUUGAUGCAAAUGAGGGUAUCCAAGCCCAAACGGUAGCAAACUUCUUUCUUGCCUUUGAAGCACAGCUAUCAGUAAUUCCAGUUAUAAACAAGAUCUGAAGAAUGCUGAUCCUGAAAGGGUUGAAAAACAAAUUGAAAAGGUGUUUGAUAUUCCAAGUGAUGAGUGUAUUAAGAUUUCUGCUAAACUUGGAACGAAUGUUGAAAGUGUUCUUCAGGCAGUCAUCAAAAGAAUACCUCCUCCUAAAGCACAUCGCAAAAAUUCCUUGAGAGCUUUGGUAUUUGACUCCACCUACGACCAGUACAGGGGUGUGAUAGCCAAUGUAGCAUUAUUUGAUGGAGUGGUUUCCAAAGGAGAUAAAAUUGUAUCUGCACAUACUCAAAAGACAUACGAAGUUAAUGAAGUAGGAGUUCUGAAUCCUAAUGAGCAGCCAGCUUAUAAACUGUGUGUACCCUAUAGACCAAUCUGAAUAUAAUAAUCUGAAGAAUGCUAUAGAAAAACUGACUCUGAAUGAUUCCAGUGUGACAGUUCAUCGAGAUAGUAGCCUUGCCCUAGGCGCUGGCUGGAGGUUAGGAUUUCUUGGACUGUUGCAUAUGGAGGUUUUCAACCAGCGACUGGAGCAAGAAUAUAAUGCUUCUGUUAUUUUGACAACCCCUACUGUUCCAUAUAAAGCAGUUCUUUCAUCAGCAAAAUUGAUAAAGGAAUACAGAGAAAAGGAAAUUACAAUCAUCAACCCUGCACAAUUUCCUGAUAAGUCAAAAGUAACAGAAUAUUUGGAGCCAAUUGUUUUGGGCACCAUUAUCACGCCAGAUGAAUAUACUGGAAAAAUAAUAAUGCUUUGCCAGGCCAGAAGAGCAGUUCAGAAGAACAUGAUGUAUAUCGAUCAAACUAGAGUGAUGCUUAAAUAUCUCUUUCCUUUGAAUGAAAUUGUGGUAGAUUUUUAUGAUUCUUUGAAAUCCCUGUCUUCUGGAUAUGCCAGUUUUGAUUAUGAAGAUGCAGGCUACCAGACUGCAGAACUUGUAAAAAUGGAUAUUCUGCUGAAUGGAAAUAUUGUAGAAGAGCUAGUAACUGUUGUACACAAGUAAGUUGCAUAGAAACUAAUUACAGAAUGUGAAAGUAACCACUUUUGACAUAUUUUUAUUUAAUGACUGGUUGCUUAUUUUUAUUUGACAGCUACAUUUUGCAAACUUAAAGGUAAUUAAAUUUCCAGGUACUAGUUUUUCCUUCCAUUCUUUUUCCUUGCUUCUCUUUCCAAAUUGUUAAAAGGAGAACAGAAUUACAAUAAACAAAAAGAGUAGUGUCAUGGAAAGAAAUGUUUACCUUAUUAUCAGGUAAGAAAAAAUAAAAAUGUUUUUUAAACUUUGAUAGAUUUAGAAUAGAGAACAAAAGGUUUUAUUUUCAUUAAAAAUUUUAUAAAAAUGAAAAAUGAAAUCCCCUUUUCUGUAAUAGAUCAUGUUCAAGAAAUAGUGGAUUGGUUAAAAUAAAUUGUGGAGCACCAUAUAAUCUAUCAUUUUAAGCCAUUACAGUUAUAUUGUAGAGAGGAAUACUUAACGUAAAAUUGUCUAUUAAGUAGAAAGAUAGAAUAUAACAUAAACACUAUCAUCCAAACUGUAAAAACAAUCAAUAUGUAUGCAGAAAAACAACUGCAAGGAUGGAUUUAUGUUUAACAUAAAUAUUGUAAAAUGUUUAACAGUGGUAUUUUAUAGGUGAGGGAAGGGCAUCAAGAGUGGUUUUAUUCUCUAAUGUAUGUUUCUGUAGAUUUUUCUGUAAGAGAUUAUGUUAUUUUUAUAAUCACAAGAGGUCAUAUAUGAUCCGGCAAUAAAGUAGUGUUUAUGAUAAACAAGUUAUAUUUUCCUCUCCUUAAUAACCUUUGCUUUGAUAAUGUGUAUCAAUCAGAAAGCUACUUUAAAUAUUCUUAUUUAGGAUUUAUGAAUAGUUGCAUUUUUUUCCAUCUCAGAGACAAAGCAUACUCUGUUGGCAAAACCAUAUGUGAACGUCUGAAGGAUUCUCUUCCAAGACAGCUGUUUGAGAUAGCAAUUCAAGCUGCUAUUGGAAGUAAAAUCAUUGCAAGAGAAACUGUGAAAGCCUAUAGGAAAAAUGUUUUGGCCAAAUGUUACGGUGGUGAUAUUACCCGAAAAAUGAAACUUUUGAAGAGACAAGCAGAAGGAAAGAAAAAACUGAGGAAAAUUGGCAACAUUGAAGUUCCAAAAGAUGCUUUUAUAAAAGUUCUAAAAA